rnacentral:rRNA from 1 species
GAAAGGAGGGGUAAUACCGGAUGUGGUCGUCCUGCGCAUGUAGGACUAUCCAAAGGUGGGGAUCUUCGGACUGNGCCGCUUGAGGAUGAGCCCGCGUACCAUCAGCUUGUUGGUGGGGUAACGGCCUACCAAGGCAACGACGGUUAGCUGGUCUGAGAGGAUGGUCAGCCACACUGGGACUGAGACACUGCCCAGACUCCUACGGGAGGCUGCAGUCGAGAAUCAUUCGCAAUGCGCGAAAGCGUGACGAUGCGACGCCGCGUGGAGGAUGAAGGCCUUCGGGUUGUAAACUCCUGUCGUGAGGGAACAAUGGCCCCGGUGUUAAUAGCGCCGGGGUGUGAUGGUACCUCAAGAGGAAGCCACGGCUAACUCUGUGCCAGCAGCCGCGGUAAUACAGAGGUGGCGAGCGUUGUUCGGAUUUACUGGGCGUAAAGGGUGCGUAGGCGGUUUCGUGUGUCGGGUGUGAAAUCUCACCGUUCAUCGGUGAAACUGCACUCGAAACUACGGAACUAGAGUACAGGA